rnacentral:rRNA from 1 species
GAUGAACGCUGGCGGCGUGCCUAAUACAUGCAAGUCGAGCGAACGGACGAGAAGCUUGCUUCUCUGAUGUUAGCGGCGGACGGGUGAGUAACACGUGGAUAACCUACCUAUAAGACUGGGAUAACUUCGGGAAACCGUAGCUAAUACCGGAUAAUAUUUUGAACCGCAUGGUUCAAAAGUGAAAGACGGUCUUGCUGUCACUUAUAGAUGGAUCCGCGCUGCAUUAGCUAGUUGGUAAGGUAACGGCUUACCAAGGCAACGAUGCAUAGCCGACCUGAGAGGGUGAUCGGCCACACUGGAACUGAGACACCGUCCAGACUCCUGCGGGAGGCAGCAGUAGGGAAUCUUCCGCAGUGGGCGAAAGCCUGACGGAGCAACGCGGCGUGAGUGAUGAAGGUCUUCGGAUCGUAAAACUCUGUUAUUAGGGAAGAACAUAUGUGUAAGUAACUGUGCACAUCUUGACGGUACCUAAUCAGAAAGCCACGGCUAACUACGUG